UCACAGAUCCCUCCAGUGCUGUACUGUGUAUUCUUCUUUCUGAGCAAGUCAGGCUCCAUGGAUUUGAUAAGUCACUUAAAACUUAAAGGCUAUUGCAAGUUAUCACACUGGUAACAGAAGGCCUCUCAGGAAAUGAAAACAAGAGAGUUGGUGUCAUUGCAUCGUCUGAGGUGGCUCAACUGACCAAAGAUGAAGAUUCAUUUCAAUGAAAUCUAGCUGACAAGUUUCCUGAGAACAAGAGCCAUUUCUCGUUCAUCUUUGUAUCUUCAGUUGCAUUUAACGUAAAUCACAGGACAAGGAGUCACAGACCACCGGAAUGUCAACAGGAGUCUUGAAGGACAACAUCCUAGGAACAAUGGAGACCUAAAGGAAGACUGGAGUUUGCUAAAUUUUAUUUUGUGCUGAGCCAGUUCAGUCUUGGACUGGAUUGUGCUGAUUAUACCUCUAUCUGCUUAUUAGAGGACUCAACCCUAUCUGGGGAAUAAAAAGUUAUCCAGGAGCUCUAUACUUCUUUUGUACUCAAUGUCUGGAAUACAAUAGAAAACCUGGAUACCAGGGAUGGAACUCAGGAUCUUGUGCUUGCGAGGCAGGCGCGGUGCCAUUGCGCUACGUCCUGGCUCUAGUGGACAAAGAUUUUAACAUAACUAUGAUUAAUACGUUCAAAAAGCAGAUGAAAAGAUGGCAAAACCACAUGCCAGUAUGCCAUGGACUGACUCCCUGAACCUUGAGCCAAAUUGAACAUCACACCCUCCAGCACAAAGGAGGUGGACAUUCUGGGCCACCACACCAGAAUCCCUAGUGC